AGGACGAACGCUGGCGGCGUGCUUAACACAUGCAAGUCGAACGGAAAGGCCCUUUCGGGGGUACUCGAGUGGCGAACGGGUGAGUAACACGUGAGCAACCUGCCCUUAGCUCCGGGAUAGCUCCGGGAAACCGGAAUUAAUACCGGAUACGACCACGAUUGACAUCGGCCGUGGUGGAAAGGAUUUCCGGCUAAGGAUGGGCUCGCGGCCUAUCAGCUAGUUGGUGGGGUAAUGGCCCACCAAGGCGACGACGGGUAG
rnacentral:rRNA from 1 species